rnacentral:rRNA from 1 species
UACGUAGGGGGCAAGCGUUGUCCGGAUUUAUUGGGCGUAAAGAGCUCGUAGGCGGCUCGGUAAGUCGGAUGUGAAACCUCCAGGCUCGACCUGGAGACGCCAUCUGAUACAGCACGCCUUGAGUCCGGAAGAGGUGGGUGGAAUUCCUAGUGUAGAGGUGAAAUUCGUAGAUAUUAGGAAGAACACCAGUGGCGAAGGCGGCUCACUGGCCCGUUACCGACGCCCAGGCGCGACAGCGUGGGGAGCAAACAGG